GGCCAAGCUAGAACACUACCCGCAUAUGUUAGCUGUCCUGCGAGAAGCUCCUCUUUCCUUUUGCUUUCCUUCGGUUAUUCCAAAACUCUGUGUCGAUCUUCAAAAUCCCCUUUGCGAUUUCUUCUCGAAAGAGGAUUGUUAAUUACAAAAUCUUACGUCUUUUGCGUCUCAAAAAUUUUAGCCGAAAUCGUUUCAAUAAUAGAGAUUAAAGGAAAAUUAUAAUUAUGGCUCAAGCAGUUGAGGAAUGGUACAAGCAGAUGCCUAUUAUCACCCGCUCUUAUCUAACAGCAGCUAUUGUCACCACCAUCGGUUGUUCCCUCGAGAUAAUAUCUCCUCAUAAUUUGUACUUGCAUCCUACACUUGUUGUUAAGCAUUAUCAAUUCUGGCGUCUCAUCACCAAUUUCCUGUACUUCCGGAAAAUGGACCUGGACUUUUUGUUCCACAUGUUCUUUCUUGCUCGAUACUGCAAACUUCUUGAAGAGAACUCUUUCAGUGGGAGGACUGCAGAUUUCUUUUACAUGCUCUUAUUUGGUGCCACUGUUUUGACUGGCAUUGUUCUUCUUGGGGGAAUGAUACCCUAUUUGUCAGAAUCAUUUGCGAAAAUCAUAUUCCUUAGUAAUUCAUUGACAUUCAUGAUGGUUAGUUAGUCUUUGCCUACAUAUGGCAUGUUAUUGUUGGUAGUUCCUUGUAACUGAUCUUCCACCAAAGCUUCUUACUUUUUCAUAUUUGCAGGUUUAUGUCUGGAGCAAGCAAAAUCCAUUUAUCCACAUGAGUUUCUUGGGCCUCUUUACUUUUACAGCAGCUUACCUACCAUGGGUUCUUUUGGGAUUCUCUGUCCUUGUUGGUGCCAGUGCUUGGGUGGAUCUACUGGUGCAUUUUAUUUACUAAAUAUUCCCUUCAACAUCAAUAUUUCCAUUUUUUUAUUAAUCAUCUGUGCAUGUUAGGGAAAUUCUUAACCUUGUGCUCUCAAGCUCAUUAAUUCACAAUUUACAUUUAAAAAACAAACGUUGCAUUGCUUGGCCAUUGAGCAAAAUUUUAAACAAUGGAGUCCCGAGUGUAUGGACGGUUGAUGGGUUGUGAUAUGGCUUGCCUGAUUGGGAUGAAUGAACUUGAUUAGUGUGUUUGUGGCAACAAGUUUUGACAUUUCUUCCAUUGGUAGGUUAAGAGUGUUCACAAGUCACAACUUAAAUAUAUAAAAAUUAGAAGUGCAAAUGUUCAGUAGUCUUCACUCUUCAGUCAUUUCCUGAGCACAAAAUAUUACUAGGACCGAUAAAAUUAAAAGAAAAAAAAGAAAGCUAAUAUAACAUAAAAUGCUGUAAGAAAUAUGCUUCACUCCUUUCCCUUUUGAGUAAAUCUCUCUCAACAGCAAAUAUCUUACAAAUUGGCUGCCUUUUCUUCUGGUGUAUUUACAUUCCUUAUUUUUAACAAUAUUACUAUGUGUUUCAGGGAAUGAUAGCUGGCCAUGCUUACUAUUUUCUUGAGGAUGUAUAUCCACGAAUGACCGGUCGUCGGCCCCUACAAACCCCAUCAUUUAUUAAAUCACUAUUUGCUGAUGAGGCUGUUGUAGUGGCACGACCUGCAAAUGUGAGAUUUGCUCCCCCACCUGCAGAGGAGGUUCAUCAAGAUUGAUCAGACCGUAGGCUAAUGAGCUAUCUUUUUGGCUGCAUUGGACAGCUCGUGCCAUUAGGGGACAUAAAGUUGAUACAGUUCUUUGAUAUAUCUGUCCUGACAUGUCUUCAUUUUAGAGGUUAACUAUGUACAUGAUAUUGCCUGCUAUGGAGCCAUGCACAACUUGGAUUAGAGACGAGUUUUUGUAAUUUAUAUCAAGAAUUUCAUAGUUGUUCCUUCUGUUGCUGCUUCCGAUGGAAACUAGAUUACACCAAAGUUGAAGUGAUCAACUUAAACGACAAAGACAUAAUGCUUGAUGGAAGAGACUUGAACCCGGUCAAUAAAAAAUCACAACAAAGAGGAGGUAUGUGCCUUUGUUGUUUUUAAUAGGUUGUAGCCCUUGUUUCCAAAAUAAACUAAAAGCAGAUGACCAAAAUCAUCUAACUCCGCUUCAUCAAAUAAUGAAUAGUUUUAUAAACCUAGAGCAAUGGUUAUGAUAGAGGGAGGGCAUCAGGGGCCAUUGUCCCUUCCCCCUUCAAAGUAAAAGAUUUUUCUUCAAUCCUAUGUAGAAUUUCUUUUCUAUGCCAUUAUGUUGCCCCUUAAUCCAGCCCAAGUAUUUGUCUUUUAAUAUCAACUCCAUUUGCUUGGCCUAUCUCAUUAGCUAAACUCAUUAUUAAUCAAUUAAUGUUUCACUCCAUUUGUUCGUUAUUCUUUAAUAGAUUAACUGAUUCAGCGGCCCAUCAAGUCAUUAUUCUUUAACACAUUAAUGUAUUAUAUUGUUUUCAUAUGAUAUUUAUCAAUCAUGCCAAGAUGUGAUAUAUAGAUAGAUGUAGUAUAGUUUGUAUUAAUCUCUGUUUGAAAAGUUAAUUUUUAUUUAUUUUUUUUUGUACUAUAACAUGUGUAUUAUAUUUUUCUCGUAUGAUAUUUAUCAAUGGCAGGAAAAAAAUUUACAAGAUCUUCACCCCCCUAACUUAAAUUUUUAGCUCUACCACCGCCUAUAAGACUAUAACAUAGUGUUUGAUCAUACUUAUUUGGAUUUCCAUGCUUUUAUCACAUUAUGUUUGUAUUGGUGGUUCAGGAAGAUUCAUAUUCAAGUAACUAAAACUGAAGAUGUGUUCAAGGUUUGUUGGCAAGCCAAAUAAAAUGGAGGUAUUGAUUGUACAUAACCAAUGUAAUAAACUUCUUCCUACUCCUAACUAUUUUCUUUUACCCUUAUAAGUUUUUUAAUUUGUAUAAUUAGACUUAACUGCUUCUAAAGAGUUUCUGUUACUUUUUUUUUCUUAUUAUUAUCUUCUUUUUUUUUUCCCUUGUAGGUGCAAGGUUCUUCCUUAAUCCUUAUAUGAUAUAUCACUGCUGCAAGGAGGUUGCAAAUGGCAAUAUAGUGUGUUUUCGAUUCAUGGAAUGUUGAUGAUGCUUCUUAUUUUGGAGAUUUUAUCAAAGAUUGUUGAGGAUAUUUUGCAAGAGCUGCCUCAUAGCUCUAUUUCUUAGCUCUAUUUCUUUUGUAAAAAGUUCAACUCUUAUUGACAACGACAUCUAUUUUUGUGUCUGAUACUCAGAAGCGGGAUCCUGUCCCUCCUAAUUUUAUUUAAGUUGCUGUAAUUUUUAAUUUUAUUUAAGAUAGAACCCCAAAAAAGGUAAAACCUCAAACUAUGCCAUAUUUUCCUCUAGUUAUGUGAACAAUAACUCAAACAAAUUGAAGAUUUUGCCAAAUUAUUGUAUAAUAAAUAAUGAUAUCAAAAUUGUUGGCGUGG
rnacentral:misc_RNA from 1 species